rnacentral:misc_RNA from 1 species
AACUUUCGACAACGGAUCACUUGGCUCUCGCAUCGAUGAAGAACGCAGCGAAAUGCGAUAAGUAAUGUGAAUUGCAGAAUUUCCGUGAGUCAUCGAAUCUUUGAACGCACCUUGCACCCUUUGGUAUUCCGAAGGGUAUGCCUGUUUGAGUGUCAUUAAAUUCUCAAGUCUUUCAAGUUUUUUCUUGGAUGAUUUGGAUUCUGAGGGUUAUGUUGGCUCUAGUAGUCAGACUCCCUUUAAAAAUAUUAGUGGCUUGUCGAUCCCCAUUAUUUGGUGUGAUAGCUCUAUCUACAUCAUAUGUAAUGGCAAGGUCAUGUAAUGGCAAUUUAGCUGCUCUCUAAUAGUCUAGAAAUAGACAAUUUGAACCAUUUGACCUCAAAUCAGGUAGGACUACCCGCUGAACUUAAGCAUAUCAAUAAGCGGAGGCU